CGAAAGGCAGCCUCCUGGGAUCACACUGACGCUCAUGCACGAAAGCGUGGGGAGCAAACAGGAUUAGAUACCUGGUAGUCCACGCCCUAAACGAUGUCAACUAGCUGUUGGGGCCUUCGGGCCUUGGUAGCGCGCUAACGCGUGAAGUUGACCGCCUGGGGAGUACGGUCGCAAGAUUAAAACUCAAAGGAAUUGACGGGGACCCGCACAAGCGGUGGAUGAUGUGGAUUAAUUCGAUGCAACGCGAAAAACCUUACCUACCCUUGACAUGUCUGGAAGCCGAAGAGAUUUGGCAGUGCUCGCAAGAGAACCGGAACACAGGUGCUGCAUGGCUGUCGUCAGCUCGUGUCGUGAGAUGUUGGGUUAAGUCCCGCAACGAGCGCAACCCUUGUCAUUAGUUGCUACGAAAGGGCACUCUAAUGAGACUGCCGGUGACAAACCGGAGGAAGGUGGGGAUGACGUCAAGUCCUCAUGGCUUAUGGGUAGGGCUUCACACGUCAUACAAUGGUCGGGACAGAGGGUCGCCAACCCGCGAGGGGGAGCCAAUCCCAGAAACCCGAUCGUAGUCCGGAUCGCAGUCUGCAACUCGACUGCGUGAAGUCGGAAUCGCUAUU
rnacentral:rRNA from 1 species